rnacentral:rRNA from 1 species
CAAUAGCGUAUAUUAAAGUUGUUGCAGUUAAAAAGCUCGUAGUUGGAUUUCUGUUUUGGAUGUCCGGUCCGCUCCCUCUGGGAGUGCGUACUUAUGGAUGUUCGAGGCAUUUUUUGUGAGGUCGCUUUUCUGCCAUUAAGUUGGUGGUUUUGCGGGCUUGCAUCGUUUACUGUGAAAAAAUUAGAGUGUUUAAAGCAGGCGUUUGCUCAUUUGAAUACAUUAGCAUGGAAUAAUAAGAUACGGCCUUGGUGGUCUAUUUUGUUGGUUUGCACACCAGGGUAAUGAUUAAUAGGGACAGUUGGGGGUAUUCAUAUUUCAGCGUCAGAGGUGAAAUUCUUGGAUCGCUGAAAGAUGAGCUUAGGCGAAAGCAUUUACCAAGGAUGCUUUCAUUAA